GCUUCAGUGGCGUAAUCGGUAGCGCGAUCGGCUGUUAACCGGCAGGCUGGAGGUUCGAGUCCUCCCUGGAGCG
rnacentral:tRNA from 1 species